CGGAGAGGGAGCAUGAGAGACAGCUACCACAUCUAAGGAAGGCAGCAGGCGCGCAAAUUACCCAAUCCUGAUGCGGGGAGGUAGUGACAAGAAACAACAAAGCAGGCUGGUAUUCUGGUUUUGUUCUUGGGAUGAGCUGAAAGUAGACGUCUCUGCGACUAUCAAUUGGAGGGCAAGUCUGGUGCCAGCAGCCGCGGUAAUUCCAGCUCCAAUAGCGUAUAUUAAAGUUGCUGCGGUUGAAAAGCUCGUAGUUGGACGGCUGUCGAGGAGGGUUGGUCUUCGCUUGGCGAACGCAUCUGGUCCGAUUAUGGCAUCAUCGCGGGAAGUGGCACGGCGCUUGACUGCGUGGUCUGCUGCCGGUGACAUUUACUUUGAGGAAAUUAGAGUGAUAGCGGCAGGCAAGCGCUUCGAAUAUGGUAGCAUGGAAUAAUGAUACAAAGUUGCAGUCGCAUCUUGAUGGUUCUUGGGGCUGUAACGAUGAUGAACAGGGAUGAUCGGGGGCAUCUGUAUUAACGCGUCAGAGGUGGAAUUCUUGGAUCGCGUUACGACACACAGCAGCGAAGGCAUUUGCCGAGGAUGUUUUCAUUGAUCAAGAACGAAAGUGUAGGGAUCGAAAAUGAUUAGAUACCGUCGUAGUCUAGACCAUAAACUAUGCCGACUGGAAAUAGGGGGUAGUUCCGUUCGUGACACCUUCUGCGUCUUGAGAGAAAUCAGAGUGUCUGGGUUCCGGGGGGAGUAUGGUCGCAAGAUUGAAACUUAAAGGAAUUGACGGAAGGGCACCACCAGGAGUGGAGCCUGCGGCUUAAUUUGACUCAACACGGGGAAGCUUACCAGGGCCUGACAUAGGAAGGAUGGACAGAUUGAUAGCUUUUUCUUGAUUUUAUGGGUGGUGGUGCAUGGCCGUUCUUAGUUGGUGGAGUGAUUUGUCUGGUUAAUUCCGUUAACGAACGAGACCUUAGCCUGCUAAAUAGUGAUACGUAUCUUUGGAUACGUUGGCGCUUCUUAGAGGGACUUUGCGACGUCAAGAGCGAGGAAGUUUAAGGCAAUAACAGGUCUGUGAUGCCCUUAGAUGUUCUGGGCUGCACGCGCGCUACACUGAUGCAUCCAGCAAGUGGGUGACCUUCCCUGGUAAGGGUGGGUACUCUCCCAAAAGCGCAUCGUGCUGGGGACAGAUUAUUGCAAUUAUUAAUCUUCAACGAGGAAUUCCUAGUAGGUGUGGGUCAUCAGCCGGCGCCGAUUGCGUCCCUGCCCUUUGUACACACCGCCCGUCGCUCCUACCGAUUGAGUGGUCCGGUGAGUAGUGUGGACCGGAGUUCCGCGAGGUCUUCCACGCCUAGCUCUGCGAAAUCUAGCAAACCUUAUCACUUAGAGGAAGGAGAAGUCGUAACAAGGUAACC
rnacentral:rRNA from 1 species